rnacentral:rRNA from 1 species
UACAGAGGGGGCAAGCGUUGUUCGGAAUUACUGGGCGUAAAGGGCGCGUAGGUGGCCUUCUAAGUCGAACGUGAAAUCCCCGGGCUCAACCCGGGAACUGCGUCCGAUACUGGAAGGCUUGAAUCCGGGAGAGGGAUGUGGAAUUCCAGGUGUAGCGGUGAAAUGCGUAGAUAUCUGGAGGAACACCGGUGGCGAAGGCGGCAUCCUGGACCGGUAUUGACACUGAGGCGCGAAAGCCAGGGGAGCAAACGGG